UCAGCCUAAAGAAGACCAGCCUUACAACAGAAAACCAAGGAAGAAAACUUCUAAAGUUUGGGAUUAUAUGGAAGAGACCAAGGGUGGUGCUAAAGUAGGUUCAAAAUGAAAAUUAUGUGCUCAAGAAUUUUUGAAAGACGAGAGUUCUUCGACUUCUGCAAUGAAGAGGCAUUUGGAAAAGUGUGUAAAAGAACAUGGUGGAACCCUACAAACACAGCUUCAAUUUCAGCGAGGUUCCAAUGAUGAGGUAAAGAUUUCUAUUUUUCAAUAUGACCAUGCUUUAAUGAGAGAAAAGAUAUCUCAUUAUGUUAUGAUUAAUGAGUUACCUUUCAUGCACGUCGAGAGUUUCAUGUUCAAUGAUAUUAUGAAAACAGCUACGCCUUUAUACCAAAAGAUAACGAGAGGGACACUAAAAGGUGACUGUUAUAGCACAUAUGAAAUUGAGAAGAAACAAUUAAAGGAGAAGUUCAAAUCUGCCUAAAAGGUUAAUAUAACUACUGAUAUGUGGACUUCUUCCUGUCAAAAGCUCGGAUAUAUGGUCAUUACCACUCAUUGGAUUGAUACAGAUUGGAUAUUAAAUUCUAGGGUUCUUAACUUUUGUAAUGUUCCCCCACCUCAUUCUGGACAUAUAAUUGUUGAUGCACUAUAUAAAUGCCUAGUUCAUUGUGGAAUUGAAGAUAAAAUUGGUACUGUGACGAUUGAUAAUGCUAGGGCUAAUGAUGUCGCCAUCAGGACUUUGAAGGAUUCUUUUAGCCUUAGAAAUUCAAAGCCAUUACCUAUUGAUGGGCAGUUAUUUCAUGUGCGAUGUUGCGCACACAUUCUGAAUCUUUGUGUUCAAGAUGGACUUAAGCCUAUUACUCAGAUUGUGAAUAGAAUUAGGGAUGGGGUAAAAUAUGUUAGUUCUUCAGAAGGCCGGCUGAUUAAGUUUGCUGAAAUAGCUAAGUUAUUGCAACUUAAAUCAAAAAAGCUAAUUCUCGAUGUUUCCACUAGAUGGAAUUAUACUUAUUACAUGCUGCAUUCUGCCAUUCAGUUUAGAGAUGUUUUUCCUAGAUUCACAGUUUGGGAUAGGACUUUUUCUGAGUAUGUUCCGAGUAAUGAAGAUUGGGAGAAAGUAAAACAUGUCUGCUUCUUAUUACAUGUAUUUGAUGGUGCCACUAAAAUACUUUCAGGGUACCAAUACCCGACUUCCAAUUUAUUUCUUGCUGAACUCAAAAGGGUAAAAGAAUUAAUUGAUAAAAAAGUCAAUGACUCAAAUUUGUACAUGAGGGAUAUGGCUGAAACAAUGAAGGAAAAAUUUGAUAAAUAUUAGGGUGAGAGUAAUUUGAUGAUGUCUAUUGUGGCUGUGAUGGAUCCGAGGUUUAAAUUAAAUCUUCUUAAUUAUUGUUUUCCUGUUAUUUAUUCGUCCGAAGGUAAAAGUGAUAAGAAACUAGCUCAUUUGAAUGUUAUCUUACAUGAUCUGUAUCAAGAGUACGUUGUUGAAGAUUCUAAAAUGAAAGGGAUGACAUCAUAUUCUAGUCAGAUUUCCUCCUCUGAUAAAUUUCAGUGUUCUGGUGAUAAAGAAAUCCCAGCUGGUAUGAGUGAGUACGGGGCUUUUAUUCGUGAAAGUGGGGCUGCUCUUGAAUCGGUCAAGUCUAAGCCUGAUGACUAC
rnacentral:lncRNA from 1 species